rnacentral:lncRNA from 1 species
UUCUUAUUAUUAUUAUUAUUAUUAUUAUUAUUUUCUUCUUCUUCUUCUUCUUCCUUCUUUUACUUUUUCCUCUUCUUUCUUCUCCUCUUCUCUUCUUCUUCUUCUACUUCUUCUUCUUGUCCUCCUCCUCCUCUUCUUAUUCUUCUUCCUUCUUCUACUUAUUCUUCUUUUCUUCUUCAUCUUUUUUCACCUUUUGUCUACUUCUUUU